GGGGAGUACGGCCGCAAGGUUAAAACUCAAAUGAAUUGACGGGGGCCCGCACAAGCGGUGGAGCAUGUGGUUUAAUUCGAUGCAACGCGAAGAACCUUACCUGGUCUUGACAUCCACRGAASUUUYCAGAGAUGRGAWUGUGCCUUCGGGAACYGUGAGACAGGUGCUGCAUGGCUGUCGUCAGCUCGUGUUGUGAAAUGUUGGGUUAAGUCCCGCAACGAGCGCAACCCUUAUCCUUUGUUGCCAGCGRUUAGGYCGGGAACUCAAAGGAGACUGCCAGUGAUAAACUGGAGGAAGGUGGGGAUGACGUCAAGUCAUCAUGGCCCUUACGACCAGGGCUACACACGUGCUACAAUGGCGCAUACAAAGAGAAGCGACCUCGCGAGAGCAAGCGGACCUCAUAAAGUGCGUCGUAGUCCGGAUUGGAGUCUGCAACUCGACUCCAUGAAGUCGGAAUCGCUAGUAAUCGUGGAUCAGAAUGCCACGGUGAAUACGUUCCCGGGCC
rnacentral:rRNA from 1 species